rnacentral:misc_RNA from 1 species
AAACUGCCUGAACAUGCUGACCCUCACCGCCCACCAUCCAGCGGAGCAUUUGAAGAAAUUUGCCAUCGAUUACUUCCGCCGUUAUCCGGGUGAGGUCAUGGGAACGGACAACUGGAAAAAGAUGAAGGAAGAAAAUCCGGCGUUGUUGUGCGACUUGCAUCAAAUGGUUUUCACAGCGCCGACUGUCUAGAAGUCCUGUAUCCGUCUAUGUCCAUUUUUCUGAUACUGUUUUUAUAACACAGAAUCUUUCUACUGGAGAAAUUCAGCCUUCAUUUUCAAUUAAUGUCUUUCUGAAAUCAAGAAACGCAAAUUUGGUUGUAUCGUGUGGUUUCGCGUGUACAUGGACGCAAGUUCUUUUUUAAAAU